rnacentral:rRNA from 1 species
CCAAUAGCGUAUAUUAAAGUUGUUGCAGUUAAAAAGCUCGUAGUUGAACUUCGGGGUUCACCCAUUGGUCAGGCUUAAUUGUCUGCACUGGUGAGAUGAGUCUCUACCUUCUGAGGAACUUUCAUGCCAUUUAUUUGGUGUGGUUGGAAAUCAGGACUGUUACUUUGAAAAAAUUAGAGUGUUUAAAGCAGGCUAACGUC